rnacentral:tRNA from 1 species
GGCCUCGUACCUCAGCUGCUAGAGCGUGCGCGUACGAAGCAUAGGUGGCGUCCAUUCGUAGGUUCGAAUCCCACCGAGGCUA